rnacentral:rRNA from 1 species
CGCGAACACUCCUACGGGAGGCAGCAGUGGGGAAUAUUGCACAAUGGGCGCAAGCCUGAUGCAGCCAUGCCGCGUGUGUGAAGAAGGCCUUCGGGUUGUAAAGCACUUUCAGCAGUGAGGAAGGCGGAGUCGUUAAUAGCGGCCUCGUUUGACGUUAGCUGCAGAAGAAGCACCGGCUAACUCCGUGCCAGCAGCCGCGGUAAUACGGAGGGUGCGAGCGUUAAUCGGAAUUACUGGGCGUAAAGCGCAUGCAGGUGGUUUGUUAAGUCAGAUGUGAAAGCCCGGGGCUCAACCUCGGAAUAGCAUUUGAAACUGGCAGACUAGAGUACUGUAGAGGGGGUAGAAUUUCAGGUGUAGCGGUGAAAUGCGUAGAGAUCUGAAGGAAUACCGGUGGCGAAGGCGGCCCCCUGGACAGAUACUGACACUCAGAUGCGAAAGCGUGGGGAGCAAACAGGAUUAGAUACCCUGGUAG